rnacentral:lncRNA from 1 species
UCCACGAUACCAUUUCUUUAAGCUGAAUAAUACUAAAUAAUAAUACAUUCGAACUUAAUUUACAUACAUCAAAGUUUACUUCCUCAGGUACGUGACCUUCAAAUACAUUCCUUACAAUACCUGACAAUAGAUUCCAUUGUCUUACUAACUAUAACCAUUAACUCAUACUAAAAACUCAUUCGAACAGCUUUCCUUUCCCCUUGUUCGUGCCUGAGCCUUCAGGUUGCUCAUACAUAACUGAAAACAUUUAAUUUAAGC